rnacentral:lncRNA from 1 species
UUUGCCAUUACCUUUAGGCGAGUGAAAUCCGGCAGUGGGUCGGGACUGGACUAGCCCGUGUUUGGGUGAACCAGUAUAAAUCUCUUGUGUUGUUUUCUGUUAAUCUUAGUUCUAUCUUUUGCUUAAAAACAACACCUAAUUAAAAAGAUCCCUCUUCCAGUUAUCUGGUCAAGAACAGAGGUUGACUACUUUACGCAGAUCCCUCAUCCAGUUAUCUGGUCAACUAUCUGAGGUUACAUUCAUUGUUUUAAAUCUUUAUAUUUGUCCAACUAUUACUUAUCAUAUUUAUCCAGUUAUCUGGUCACUUACUUGUUUAUCAAAUUAUCCAGUUAUCUGGUCACUUAUUUACUUGUCAAUAUAUCCAGUUAUCUGGUCAUUUAUUUACGUAUCAAUUUAUCCAGUUAUCUGGUCAUUUACUCUACAGUACAAUUUGUGUUUUAAAUAUAACUUAGUAUUCAUAUAUUAUAGUUGUGUUUGAAACAUUAUCAAGAAAGUUGACUCAGUAUUCAUAUACUGUAGUAAGCUUCACAGAGUAAUACUUACAUUACUAUAUCAAUUAAAAUAAUAAUAUCCUUAUAUCAUUACUGUUCAACCAUUUGUUUAUUAAGUGUUUACAGGUAAUUCCGCUAUCAACCUGUAUAAAUCGAAAAGAGGCUAUCACCCCCCCUAUAGCCUCGGAUCACGAUCCAACACCUUCUAGCAGUUGCAUCAAUCAAAAAUUGGACAACAUAUCAAAUGGAUGUGAGUAAUGCCUUCUUACAUGGUGAUUUAUCUGAGGAGAUAUACAUGUCCCCACCUCCAAGGAUGCUACCACCAGAUGACACCAGAGUUUGCAAAUUAAAGAAAUCCCUAUAUGGCGCGCCUAAAGCAGACAAACAGAAACUAGUAUGAAAAACUCACUUCAGCUUUAACCAAAUUUGGGUAUACACAAUCUCACUCUGAUUAUAUAUUAUUUUUUAAAUCAAAUUCAAACUCAUAUACCUGCCUACUUAUAUAUGUGGACGACUUGAUUAUAUCAGGGGACAAUGAAGCUGAAAUUCAGAAACUGAAAGAAUAUUUACACCUUCAAUUCCAUAUAAAGGAUUUGGGAAACUCAAAUACUUUUUAGGAAUUGAGGUGUCUCAAUUCAACUUAGGUAUUUUCCUAUCACAAAGGAAAUAUGCCCUUGAUAUUCUACAUGAUUUUGGACAAUUGGGAUCCUCUCCAUCCAAAAUCCCAAUGUCUCACAAUUACAAAAACUCUGAAAAUAAUGCUCCACUAAAAGAUCCAUCAAUCUAUAGAAAGCUAAUUGGGAAACUAUUAUACCUUACAAUUACAAGACCUAAUAUAUCCUUUUCUGUUAGUCAUCAUAGUCAAUUUUUGGCAGAUCCCAGGCAAUCACACUUCAACUCUGCCAUGAAGAUAUUGAAAUACAUCAAAGGAGCUUCAGGCAAAGGUAUUUUAUAUAAAAGGGAUGCACCCUUGUAAUUAGAAGCUUAUUGUGAUGCAGAUUGGGCUGAUCGCUCCAACACCAGGAGAUCCAUUACAGGAUACACAAUUCUAUUAGGUGGCUCAGCCAUAACAUGAAAAUCUAAGAAACAAACAACCAUAAGCAGGUCAUCUGCUGAAAGUGAAUAUAGGGCAAUGGCAUCAACUGUAUGUGAGGUAAUGUGGCUGCAUUAUUUUUUAAAUGAUCUACAGGUCAAGCCAUCAGGAGAAACAAUGUUACACUGUGACAACAUAGCUGCAAUACAUAUUGCAUCAAAUCCAGUCUUUCAUGAGCGCACCAAACAUAUAGAGAUUGAUUGCCAUCUAAUUCGUGAUCAUCUUCAAACUGGAUUAUUUAAAUUACAGCAUGUUUCAACAACAUCACAAGUGGCAGAUAUUUUAACAAAACCAGCAAGUCUUGAAUCAUUGCUCAAUCUACUACCCAAGCUGGGACUCUAUGACAUACACUCUCCAGCUUGAGGGGGUAUUGAGAGUAAUUAUCGAAUUUAGUUUGAAGUUAAGUUAUGUGUUAGUAUUUAAGCUAGGUCAGGCCCAACUCUGAUGUUGGCCCAUUAAGUUAAUUAGGGUUUAGUUAUUUAGUAUAUAUAGUCAAGUUGUGAUAUUUUAUUCUUUAACUUUUGAAUACAAAAUCUAAAACCUUAUUGGGUUCUUCCCAAUCGACUCCUCCCCUCUUACUCGCAAUCGUUCAUCUCCCUAACUCUAGCGGUGACUCUGUGCACAUUCCUCUCCGAUCUCUCGUUCUUCACUUUUUGUACUUUGAAUAAUAUUUUGUUGACAUGACGACAUUUUCUAUCUAAAAAAUAAAAUCCAAUAUAUCUGACUUUUGAAAUUUUGAUAUAACUUUUUUUUUCGAUUUGUAUCUUCAUAUUUUUUCUCUAUAUUACUCAAUUCAAAUGUGUCAAGUUCCACAUUAAUAUGAGGUGGAGUGAGUUCAGAGAAGGAGAGGGAUUUAAUUAUUGAGAAACAAGAAUGAAGAAAGUGCCAAAAAUAACUGUAAAGAAAAUUCUAAGGGAGGGAAGGGAGACCACCUAAAUGACGACCCAAUGAACAGAAUGGGGAGUUUAGAGAUUUCCAAAAUAAUUCAGAUGUUUUGUUUGAAGAUGGAGGUCAAGUCUAAGAUGAAGAUAUGCUACAGAAUGCUAAUGAAGAGGAGGUCGAAGUAUUGAACUAUUGAAGCACAAGAGUCUGAAAAUUCAGAAUAUGUAGAGGAAGAUUAUGUUGGCUCUGAAAAUGUAAGUGUAAAAGAGGAUAAAUGGAAAUAUAAUCAUCAAAUAUUUUAUGCCUGAUACAGUUAAAGUAAUUACCUAUCUCUUGCAGAAAAAAUUAACUAAACAGACCAAGAUUGAUAGAAAAGAAAAAGAACUUCCUGUUUAUUUCAAGAAAGUUAACCUGGUAGUUAUUCACAACAUUACAAUUUACAAGUUUAUUACUGUAUUUUUAACUCGAUUAAAAACUAGAUUAAUACUCGUCGUAAAAAUAUAUUAAUCCACAAACAGAUUUUUUUCAUUUUUAUUCCUUGAGAACUACAAUUAAGUAUUAACAGAGAAAACAGGCAUAAAAUAAAUAGAUAUAAAGAAAGAAAGGUUCGGUUCCAAGGACUUUUGUGAAUUCAUCUGCAAAUUGUUUAUGGAAUAUACUGAUGAGAUGUUUGUUUAUGUUUUGUUCUAACUAAAUAAGGGUUUUUAGAUUAAAAAAUUAUUGAUGAUGUAUGGACUGUGUUUCAUGUUAUCUUAACAAAAACACAGAACAUAUCUCGAUACUCAGCAUAUUCGCUAUAAAAAUAUAGGAAUAAAUGAAGCUGCUGGAUUUUGAAUAAAUACUCAUCAUAAUCAUUCAUAAUCAGAAUAACAUAAUCAAGUCUCAACAUAAGAAGAAUAGUAUGUAAGGCAAGAUAUUCGAAGCUUAAAAGUUGGAUCAAAAUUCCCUACAACCGACUGUGUGAUUGGACGAUAAACAUUUAAUAGUGGUAGAGCAUUAUUCCUCCAAAAUGUUUCUCCUCCUCUAGUUCAUUAAGCGUACUUUCUAAUAAAAUCAGCUACUAUCACCAACACAUUAUAACUCAUCCUUGAAAUCUGUUUCAGAAUCCACUUCUCCAACUGUAGAUGACUCAUCCUUCUCUUCCGCCUCCGUCUCAUCAACUUCAACUUCUUCAUCUACUUUUGAAUCAGGACUGAUAUCCAGACUAGACUUCACAGAGCUAUAAAUUUUAGAAGCAAAGUCCUGAGGAUCAGGCAACAAAACCCACUUUCCAUUAAUGCAGUUUGGUAUACAAGUUGUGCAGUCUGCUUCAAGCUUGCAUCCUAUCCAAAAAAAAUGACAUUAGCUUUGGGACUGGAAGAAAUAAACAUAAACAAAUUUGGAAUCCAAAAAAUAAAACAAUAGUUAAUUAUUGUUGAAGAGGAAUUAAUAAUAACCUCAGGGUCUUUAACAAGUCUUUCGCGAAGCUCUUUGAUGAUAGGGUGUCUAGGAUUGAUCUCAAGUACACGUUUACCACGCAUGUAAGCUUGCUUGUUUGCAUCAGAGAGUGUUUGUGAUUGCAUAAUCCUCUCCAUGUUUGCACUCCAUCCAUAUUUAGAUGUAACCACUAUACAAGGUGUCUGAUCAAGGCGAUUGCUUAUCUUCACACUAUCUACAUUCUCACUGGAAAGAACCGUUUUCCACCAUUUAGUAAGAUCCUUGAAAGACUCGCUAAUAUCUUUGUUUUUCGAAUCCUUGCCAAGUUUAAGACCCUCUUUAGACACAUUUUGGAAUUGUUUGUCCUCGUAAUCCAUUAGAUAUUGCAUCAAAUACUCAUCAACUGGGUCGGUAAAGAAAAUGACCUGCCAGGACAACAAUAGUCUUUUAAGAAAAGAGAACAGAUUUUGUUCAUGCAAAAAAAGACAGACUGAAAGAAAACUCACUACCUACUACAUCAGUACAUGAAUACAUGUACAUCUACCAAUUACCUAUGUUUUUUUUAAGUUUUGGCACAAAAGGUUACAAUCCAUAAGCUAAAGUACACGGCUAUAUGUAACAAGAAAUAAAUAAGAUAAAAUGUUGGAUAUAUCAUUUCUACCUCGUAAUUCUUUUUUGUAAGCCUCUCAAGGAAAGGGGACUUCUCUAACAGUUCCUUGCUGGUUCCAGUAAUAUAGAAUAUGUUCUUUUGACCAGGCUUCAUCCUAGAAAUGUACUGAUCUAGUGAAGCCAACUUGCCAUCAGACUUAGUGCUGAGGAAAAUAGAACAAUAUAUAUUAAAACCGAAGUAAAAUGAACAAAAAAUAUCAAAUUAUUGUACAAACAUCAGAAAGCUUACCUCUCAAAUCUAAGCAACUUUGCUAGACGAAUCCUGUUAUCUGCAUCCUCAACAAUCCCAAGCUUUAUCGACUUUCCAAAUUCAUUCCAGAAUUUUGCAUAUUGGCCCUUCUUCUCAUCAUCUUCACUUUUCUUUUCUGUAUCUAAAUAUCAACAGCACAUUUAUAUUUAUACAUUAACGAUCAAUCUCAAGUCUCAACACAGAAAAUACCAGGAAGAAGAAAACUGAAAAAUUUAUACACUCAGAAUUAAAAAUAUAAACACCUUUGUCUAUGCCUUUGAAUUCAUCUGGAUCCUGAUCUGCAAUACGUCGAAUCAUAUCAAGGGCUUUACGAAUUAAUUUUUUCUUGAUAGUCUUCAGACUACUGUGUUGUUGGAGCAUUUCUCGGGAUACGUUAAGCGGUAAUGUGUCAGAAUCAACGAGACCCUGGGAUUAAGUAAAUACUGAGUGUUAACCUCAAAAAUGAUAACUGUUAAAAAAAAAUAAGUGUUACGAUAUUGAUAUUUGAUAAUUGAUAGCAAUGUUACCUUCAAAAAGUUCAAAUACUUUGGAAGAAGAUCAUCAAAUUCAUCAGAGAUGAAGACACGUCUUACAAACAACUUGAUGUUGGAUUUGUUAGCAUUAUAGUAGCUUUCAUAUAGAUCCUGGGGAGCCUUGGGAGGUACAAAGAGCAAUGCCUUAAACUCUACAUCACCUUCAGCUGUAAAAUGACUCCAAGCUGCUGGCUUUUCUUCACUAAAAUCCUGAAAACGAAAAAACCCACAAUACAACCUCAAAUUUAUUUUAAGAAAAAAAAAUCUCUGUAAACGUGGUUAAUAAUCUAGUUUGCCAAAAAUUAUUGGUUAAUGCUUUCAUAUACAGAAUUUAGAAGAAUAAACUAUCGAGAAGAUAACAAUUCACCUUUGCAAUAGAAUGGUAGAAUUUUACGUAUUCUUCCUCUGUGAUUUCUUUGGGACUGCGGAGCCAUAUAGCUUUAAUAUCAUUAAGAACCUCCCAAUCGUAAACAGUUUCCUUCACUGUCUUCGUUUUAGACUUUUCUCCCUCUUCUUCAUCUGCAUCUUCAUCCUUGUCUUCGUCAUCAGAAGUACUUGUUUCAGAAUCCACUGUAGAAAAAGUAAAGACGUGAUUCAACCACAACAGAGCAUGUCACAUUAGUUUCCCAAGUUGCAUUAUCAUAUUCAAUCAUCAAAAAAUAAAAUAAAAUCUUAUAUAAGAAAAAUUAGAAAUAAAUAAGAGGGUGUUAUAGGUUGAAAGUCGUACAAGUAUCAUCUUCGUCACUAGAUUCGUCUUCAUUGUUGGGGACUUCAACAUCUACUUCUUUGCUCGCCCACAAAUAUAUUGGGAAAUUUAUGAAUUCGGAAUACUUCUUUACUAAAUCCUGUGAAAAAAGUAUUUUUUACUUGUAUAAAAUGAAAAAUUCUCCAAUCAAAUAACUAAAUAGAAUAAAAGGUUAAAAACCUACCAAAUAAUAACAAUAAUGUUGCUUUCAAAAAAAAAUAACAAUAAUGUAGAACAGAAAAUUAUAGAGAAUCAAUCACCAAAAAUAUUAGUGUUUGUUUACCUUCAACUUGAACUCAUCCAGAUAUUCAGUAGCUUCGUCUCUAAGAUGCAAUUUAAUUUCCGUUCCGCGUCCUAGAGGCUCAUUCCAUGUGUCCUCGGAGAUUGCAAAUGCUCCAUCUGCCUUUGAUUCCCAAACGUACCUAAAAGGACAAAUGAUUGAUGUAAUAUUAAUGCCAUGUCAUCAUUAGAUUUCAUAAUCAAUACUGAAAAUCAGAAAUUUUGUUGCAACUGAUGGAUCAUGCUGUGACUCUUAUUCUUACUGUUUAUCAUCAUUGUGUUUGCUAAUGACUUCUACAUAGUCUGCAACUAGGUACACAGAAUAGAAGCCAACCCCAAAUUGUCCAAUCAGAUUAAGAUCACCACCUGUUUGCAUUUUCUCCAUAAAAGCUGUAAAAGAAAGAAAAAGGUCAACACUGAAAACAAGCUCUUUUUGAAAAAUGGAUAUUGCUAAGGAAGAAACAUGCAUAGAUUUUACCAGAUGUGCCGGACUUAGCAAUGGUUCCCAAGUUCUUGAUCAAAUCUUCCUUGGUCAUACCAACACCCCGGUCACGGAUAGAAAGGGUCUUUUUCUCUUUGUCUAAUUUUAUCUAUAUUUCACACAGAAAAAUAUUACCAAACCAUUUAAAGUAAUAUGUUAAGAACCCUACAUAGUCUAUAAUCCAGUGUAAGACAAAAUCUUUACACAGAAGAUUGCAAAAAUACGGAUAUGGAAAUAAAAAUUUAAGAAAGUUAAGAUAAAACAUUAUAACCUGAAUCUCAAGUUUGGUAUUGUCACCUUCACCAAGGACUUCCUUGUCUGUGAGAGCAAGGAAUCUAAUCUUAUCCAAAGCCUACGGGAGAAACAGAAACAGAUUUCAUAUUUAUGUCUUGGGUUGAAAAGAGUAAAAAAAAUAUUUGACAAUUUUAAUGAUGAAUCAAAUCUUAAGAUAAUAAAUAUAUCUCACAUCAGAUGCAUUUGAGAUGAGUUCUCUCAAGAAAAUAUCUUUGUUACUGUAGAGUGAGUUGAUAAUGAUAUCCAUCAGACGAGACACCUCUGCCUGGAACUCGAACUUCUCACCACCGCUGCGUAGAGUUUUUCUUGACAUAGACUCCGACUCCCUGUAUAAAAAAAAAAUCAUCUCAUCGUUAAAAUUGAAAUCAAAGCCUUUCUAUUAACCUUCCAAACCUGAUCUGAUCCACCCGCCCAGAUCGGAUCAAGAAAAAUAGAUAUCAGUAACGAAAUGUAGCGAGAGAGAGAGAGAGAGAAGGGAAGAUAGUCUUCUUAGUUAUCUCCUUACAUACCUUUUGAUAAAAUCAGAGUCAGUUGACAACCCGCUAGGUACGGCACCAGCGAGCUUUUCCUCGACCUUGGGUGUAUCCACAAGCUCAUCCGAUUUCCCACUCUCCUCCGCAUUUGCUUGUGACAAGCGACGAUCUGCAACAAAUCAACCACUAUAAAGUGAUUCCAUUACAAACUAAACGAUAGAUCCAAACCCUAAUAGAUCGAUCUAGUAAAUUUUCAGUGCUAAAAGCCACAAAUUCGUCUAAUAAAUCUAAUCUACAUAUAAACAGAUCAAAACAUAAUGGAGACGAAGAUGAAGUUAGACUCACCUUGAUCUGGAAUGUUAGAGAGCAAAAGAACAAAUAAUAACGGAAGAAGCGCAGGAGAAAUUAUCCGCUUCGCCAUUGUUCUCCGUCUCACCCCCUCUUUCUCUCUCUCCCUCUCUCUUUUAUUACGUUUGUUUCUUUAGAGUUUGAAGAAUUUAUAAUCUCGGAAACGAAUUGGAGAGAAAAAUGAGAGGCACGAGAGAGAAGGAAGACGUGGUGUUGAAACGUGGCAAUCUCUUAUUGGGUAUCUUCCGGGCUAUGACGUGGACGAGGCAGAAUUUUUUUAUGUAAAUGGACGCUAUGGGUGGUGGGACCUUCUAUAGUUUAAAUAUGUAAUAAUGUGAAUUAGUGUUUAAAUAUGUGGAUGACUGGAACACUUAAGAUUGUUUGCAAACACAAAAGUUUUAUCAUAAUUUAUGUGAAAUAUUAAAAAUGUUUUUUCUAAUUAAAUGAUAAAUGAUCAAAUUAGGGUGGUGAAUGUUGAGACUAGAUAGAUGAUUUUUUUAAGGAGUGUCUGAGUUAUUUUUGUUUUUAUUAUGAUUUGUGUUAAUUGUAGCUUUCGGACAUGCUUUUAUAUAGGGUCAGGUUCAGCAGGGUUUACUGCCACGUGGUGUAUCAUUUUUAACUCGGACCUAGGGUAAAAACGGGAUGCCUCCCCCGUCCUGCUCACCUUUGAAAUAUUAUCCGUUGGAUUUAUCAAAAUGAUCACGUGAUAUUAUGAGUUGUGAUCUUUCUACUCCCUUCUCACAUGUUUGUUGAUGCUACUGCACUCUUUCUUCCACUCCAUCUUCGGAGAAGGAGGAGAAAUGGGACCAAAGGGAUCGGAGAAGGAGCCACGGAUUUAUUAUAUAUUGUUAGAAGAUGUUGUAAUUAUUGUCAAGUUUAAUUCUACUAAUUAAGCUUGAGCUCGUGAGCUUAUAGAGUCGAGGUCGAACCCAAACUUAGACGGAUGAAAUCAUGAAAUCGAUCUCAGCUUGUUAAGCUUGAUAAAUUAUUAUAAUAAUAAUAUAUAAUAUAUUUUGAUAAAAAAGUUGUGGUUAAAUUCUUAAUUUAUUUAAAAAUUAAGUGAAAAGUCUCAAGUUAGGUCUUGCAUAGGGGUGAAAACGGGACGGGUCACGGUGGGCGGUUCUGUCCUCGGUAUCUGUCCUGUUUUGCCAGAAUAGGAAUAGUCAGAUACCCUGAUCUCCUGCCUCGGAUCCGCUUGGAAUUAUAAAAUAAAAAGAUAAUUAAAAAAAGUGAACCUAAAAUUUAAAAUGUUAAUUAUUAAAAGUAAAAACAAAAAGUAAAUCUAAAAUGGAAAUAAGGUUUUAAAACUAAAACUUAAGCUUAUAAAUGUAAUGAAUUUUUAAUUUUAAUAAUCCUAUAUCUAAUUUAAUUUAAUUUAAUUUAUUAAAAAUAUAAAUAAAUAAAAAUUAUUAUUUUUAAAAUCGGGGUGACCCGUCGUAGUUUCGCCCUGCCCCAAGACUCUUGCAUACUGUAAGAUAAUAAUUAAAAUUAAUUUUUGAGGUUAUAUUACUUGUGAACCUUAACUAAUCUCGGAGCCGUGGCCAUUACGCAAAUAGAUUUGAUAUUUAACCUCUAAUUUGGAGAAUUUUUCAAAUUUGGGCGAUUGAAUGGAUUUGGCGCUAUGUUGACCAUGGACAAUUCCAUCUAAGAGUUAAAAAAUACAAGGAUAAACUCAACUGAAAUAUUUAUUAUUAAUGUUUUUGAAAGUUCAAAAUUCGACUAUUAUUGUGUACUUGAUUAUUUAAAUUUUUACCAUUAUACAAUGAUAUUAAACAACCCUGAUAAAAAACCUGAUAACUAACAGACAUGGAGAUUAACUCUACUAGCUAGCUACAGUAAUUAUUAACUUUUCUGAAUGUCGUCUCGCUGAUACGUAUUUUCAUUAAAGGUCCAGACGACUAAUUUUCUUCAUUGUUUUCCCCUGUAAUCUCUUCGAGAGAUCUUCCCUUGGUUUCUGGCACUAAGAACGAAAACGCAAGACCUAGAAGAUUGCAACAUGCAAGGACAAAUAGAGAGUUUCGAACCCCAAUUCCGGCUGGAUAACCGUGAUCGGUCUUCGAUCCAUCUUGAUUUUGUGCAGCAUACAAGAACCCAAAAGCACCGAUGAUUGCACCGGCCUUCCCCGAAGCGGCUGAUAUACCAUGGCACGUCGAUCUUAACCUUGCAGGGAAGAUCUCUGCAGGUACUAUAAAUGUUGUGGCAUUGGGUCCGAAAUUUGCAAAGAAGAAAGUACAUGCGUAGAGAAUGAUGAAACCAAUUCUAUGGUCUGAGGAUUUCCAGUAGUUAUACCAAUAAGCUAGAAUUCCCAUGAAUAAUGACAUGGCCCCAAACCCGAUCGUUUGGAUCUUGAACCUUCCGAUCCUGUCUAUGAGCAACACUGUCACCCAGUAGCCCGGAACUGUUCCCAAAAGAGCGAUGAGAGUCUGAGCUCGGGCGAUGUUGUAAACUUCUUCGAUGGCGUUCAUGGAUUCAGGUUUGUGAAUCCAACCGACUGCGGUGAAGAUGUCCUUCUGAAAAAGAUUCUGGCUGUAGAACGCAAUGUCAAGAAGAAACCAAGUCGUGCAUGUUCCAACCAGGUGCAGACCAUGCUUCCUAAGAAAUUCAUGGGAAAAGAGACCAAAGUUGUUGUUGUUGGAUGUCGGAACGACCAUAACAAGUUCUUCCUCUAUCUGUAUAUCAACCUGCAACACCUUUGACAUGUCCUCGUUGGCUUGCUUCAUAUUUUUUGCCACGAGUGCAGUGUAUCGAGCUGUUUCCGGCAUCUUUGAACGUGAGUAGAACGUCAAAGCAGCAGGAAUGGCUCCAAUCAUCAGAAUAAUACGCCAUACGUAGUCAGCCUCCGGCACGGUGGAUCCAAUUGGAUCAACGAAGUAAGGAGGCACAUUGUAUAUUGUCUUAAAUAUAUAUGAUAUGACAAUAGCCAUUAUACCUCCGACGAGAAUGCCAAACCCCUGCAUAGCAAAUACCGCAGCAACGAAAGCUCCACGUGUCUUCAUGUUGGCGUACUCCGACAUGAUGGUGGCUGAGAGUGGGUAGUCUCCCCCGAUACCAAAGCCAAGAAAAAAACGAAAAAAACACAAUGUGGUCAUGACGCACUUGGGAGAGCUUCCGAAUGACAAACCGGAGGCAAUCGAGCAGAUAACCAUGAUCAUUAGGGUCAUACCAUAGACCCGUUUUCUCCCCAUCUUAUCUCCAAGCCAUCCGAAUACGAGUUGACCGAGUAAGGUUCCACAAAAAGCAACGCCGUUAACGGCCGCAGAAACAUGGGGCGGGAGGGAUCCGGGAGUCAGAGAUCCGUCGACGUGGUAGUAAAUUCUACCAAGGAGCUUUGUCACGAGAGAGAUACAAAAGAGAUCGUAGGCGUCGGUGAAGAAGCCCAUGCCGGAAAUAAUAAUGGUUUUGAAGUGAAAAGCUUGCGUCUUUGCAUCAUCUAGAGUAUUCAGAAUUUCCCUACUAUUUAUCGCCAUUCUCGAUCGUUAUAAUCAAACUAGAAAAAACAUAGAUUGUGUAAGGAUAAAACGUCAAAAUCCAAAUGAAACGUUAAAAAAAAUCUACCUUUGCUGGUCUAAGGGGCUGACUAAUAUAUUGUGAAAAUAGAACGCCGAGGUCAUUUUAUACAGCCUUAACCUAACGGGUAAACCACACAAAAAUAAAUAUAACUUUAUAUAUAUUAAGAGUGUUCUAAAUUUCCAUUUGAGGCUAACAUUUCAUUCUAACGGAGAUUACGGGAAUCAAUUAACUAUGUCAUUUAAAAAUAGAAAUAUUUGAAGGUUUCCUAGCUCUAAUGUUUUAAUGACAAAAAGCAAUCUCUGGGAGAUAAUUAAAUCAACUGGUAACUAAAAAGGUCAUAUUCGGGUAAAUUGUAUUUAAACCAUAUAUAAUAUUUUAUUUAGCAUAAUUUAUAUAAAUACGUACAUAAGUUUAUAUUUAGCAGAUCAGGUGUGCAUGUUCAUCCGUGCGCAUCAUCCUAAUCCCAUAAUUAACAUAUAAUAUAUUAACUCCCUAAAUGCUAAGUAACCUACAACUAUACUGUACAUCUAUCUAUCCUAAAAAAACGUCAUCUCAAUGCACCUACCUGAACUUCCUAUUUAACUCAACCUCCAUUCACCAUUUUUUCAACAAUCAAACCAAGACACCAUAUUCCUCCUCCUUCCGUCUUCUUCCUCAUACCUUUUCCCUGUUCUACAUUCUCCCCUGUUCUUCCGUCCUUCACUUUUUCCCCAUCUACAUACCUACUGUAGUCCACUACCUUCUAAUAUAUUAACGUAGUCUUCAGUCUACCUCCGUUCUUCCCUCGUCUCCGUCUUCCUCCUCCCUCGACUUCGUACAACAGAAACUUUUCCUUAGGUAUUGUUUCGUUUGUUGUGUCGUUGCCGUCAUUUAUUCGUCGGUGUGUUGGUAUGUUUUUCUUCUUCUUCUUCUUCUUCAAUAGUUUAUCAUUUUUUUACUUUCUAUCUCUUUCUGUGGCUACCGUUGCGAGUUCUGUAAUUUUUUGAUCGGCUUGUUUUUUUUCGAUUUCCGUUGCUUUUUUUCCCUUCGUUUUCUUUGUUUUUUUUAUUUCCGUUUGUGUCUGUAGUCAUCUAAUUUUUUAGUUAGCUAUUCAUGUUUUUUUCACGGUUUGCUUAGCACUCGUCGAGCAAGGCCCACAGGAUUUUCUUUAUAUUUUUUGUUCUCUCAUCCUUCGAAUCUUCCAAUCUUAUUUUUUAAAGUCUUCUUACUCGUUGUCGAGCAACAUUCUAUGUUUUGGUUCAUGUUAUUAUCGGUCUCUCUGAUACGAUCACAUUGGACUACGACGACGCCACCGGUGACAUCGCUGCUAUGCGGGGAAGACCUAGGCGGACAGAUUGGGGAAGAAGACGUUGGCUCGAGGUCGUUUGAAGACAGUGAACCGGGUUCAGCCUACCACAGGCCGAGUCGAACCAAGAAGACGCUGGCGCGCUUCAAGGACUACGUGAUGGACUCAAUGGGAAGUGGCUAAAUCAGAAUUUGAAGACCUAUUUAAUUUUAAAUUUUUGCAAAAGACUCCUUAAGUAUUAGAGUAUUUUCAAUUCAAUUAAAGUAUAAAAGUCUGUAAUACAAUAACAGAAUUAUUAAGAAAUUUGACAAUCAUUUUUGCUCCCCGAAAUUCCAACCCUAAUUUCCUCCGACUGCCGUCGAGUACACCUGCGCCAUCACCGUCGUCACAGCCAUCUCUCCGCCCGUCUCCGACCGAUCUUCAGUCCAGCCGAAUCGAGCCCCCAACUGGUUUGCUUAACCGCAUUGACCACCUUGGGCUAAGUCUUGAUUUCAGGGAUAUAUUCCCGUUGCUUGAGUCUUGGAUAUCCUUGAUCUUUGGGUCUUGGAUCUAAGACAGGAAUCCACUCCAGGUCUAUCUAAUCUUAAUCUCGAUUCUCUUAGAAUCGUAUCACUCUCCCUAUAUUCUCUGUUUGUUUACUUUCGGUUUUUUCGUUUUUGCUCUAUAUAAGUUUUGUUUAUAUAAAGAGUUAACUGCUUUCAUCAAAACUUCCGUACUCUAUCAGUAAUUUAAUUUAUUAUUACAUGCCAUCAUUAACAUAAUCUUCAACUUAUGUCAUCUAUUCCAAUUUCCAUUCUUCUUACUAAUUUUAGUUUUUUCAACAAUUUCAUUCACAAACCUUUGCUCGACGAUUUAUCUAUCAAUUAAUUACGUUUUAAAAUACUUUUGGUUUUAUUUAUUUUAAUAGUCUGAUGUUAAGUAGUUCUAAUAAAUAUUCGUUACUUCUAGGAAUAUUCAGUGUUGUUGUUCUGUUAUGGGGCUGUAUAGUUGUCAUUAAGAUUUUUCAAUUUUUUAACUAUUUCAUCUUGUCUACUGUCACAGCUAUUCUCUACAUCUAUUUUCUGCAAAUGGAUUUUGAUUCAAUUUCAUCGACCUCAUCUGAUCCUCAUGGUCGGUCUCAAGAUAUUGAUCAAACUUUGGAUAUGUUUUCUCCUACAAAUCCUACUUCUGAUUAUUCUAUUCUUGAGUCUAUUACUCUAUUUGGUCAUAAAAUCGCACCAAUAGUUUCCAAAUCAAUGUUUUCCUUACAAAGUGAUAAGGCCUUUAAGAUAUCAUUGAAACGUACAUUCAGACAAUGGAUAGUUCAACAUUGUUUGAAGUUGACAACAUGAAAGGUAUUAUUUCUGUAUUUGUUUAAUUUUUUUUUAAACUUGAUUUAAAUUGAUUUUUACUAAUAUUUUAGUGAUUAUUUUGAAGACAUAAGUUAGUAUUAUUGUAGAUCAUAUUUUUAUGUCGUCAUAUUCUAAUGUCUAUAUUAAUUAUGCUUUUCUAAAUUUUAAUACUCCAAGGAUUAUAUAAGUUAUUAUGUAUUACUGUUAUUUCCCAAUUUUAUUAACUAGAUAUAUUUCUGCGUUUUUUAUUUAUUUUAUAGAUCAACAUUUCAAUAUAAGUUAUUAACUCUUAUUUUAAUCAUGUUUAACAUCAAAUAUUAAGUAUUCAAUUGAGUUUGUGGUUCCAUUGUGUCAAUAUUUUUUACAUUUAAAUACGUUUUUAACACUCUUGGAAUAUUCGUUUUUUUUUUAUGUGUUUUGCAAUAGUCAAUAGGUUACUGUUAAUUAAAAAAAUUAUCAAAUUAUUGGCUCUUCAUUGUUUCCUUUUUUUUUUAAUCACAGAUUCUAGUGUUGAUAAAAAUUCUCUUCCGAUUAUAAAUCUUCCAUCUACUGAGAAGAAAAAUUAACCCUUCAAUUAUAUAUUAGUUUACUUUUUUAAUAUUUUUAGAUUUUAAUAGAGUCUUCUAAUUUUUAAUUAUCAUAUUGACUUACCAGAAUGAAUACAAUGUUUAUUUUUUUUAUUAGGACUUAAAUUGGAUAGGAAAAAGUCAAUAUCAUUUGAAGAACAAUGUUGUUAUCUUAGAGAAUUAUCUCAAAGAUUAUUUCAUAAUAGUUAUGUUCGAGGUGCUAAAAACUGUAAGUAUCUUACCCAUUUUUCUUAGUAUAUAUAGAAAUCUCAUUUUUCUUUUCUGUGGAAUGAAUUAAUUUUUAUGUUAUUGUAGCCCAUUGAUUAGUUCAAUCUCGUUGUUGUUUCAAAUGAUAUAUGAUCACAUUUAAUGAAGUUCGUGAUAUCCUUCCUCCCUUAUUUUUCAUUAAAAUUAAGAAUUUAGGAUUUGAUCAGUUCCUCGAAUCUGUUGAUUUGAAUGUAAAUUCCUACACUACAAAAAACCAGCGCAGUUCUGGCGGCAAAUUUCGAUGGCUUGGCCGCCGGUAUAAUGGUUCCUGACAGCCAAGCCGACGAAAUUCCAUCGCCGGAAGUAAUGUCGUCGGAAAAAAAUUGUUGAUUCCGAUUUUAACAGAAAUUGUCCCAGCGGCUUAGUCCCCGGCAUUUUUUUUUGAAAAUUAUAUCCCGACAGCCAGGCCGCCGGCAGUUAUUUUUGGAAAAAAAUUUGCCGACGGCCUGGCUGCUGGUCAAUAUUUCCAGGCAGGAAAAAAAAUUCCCCGGGAAAAAAGUUCUAGCGGCAAAGCCGCUGGUUCACUUUUGAAAAAAAAAAUUGAAAUUAAUAAAUUAAUAUAUUUUUUAAUAUAUGAAAUGAAUAAAUUAAAUUUGAAAUUGAAAUUUAAUAUUUAAUGCACAACAAAAAUUAAAUUCGAUAAUUACUAAUUUAAUUUCUUUUUUUCGCUCUUUUUUUUUUUUUAGUUGCGACCACCUUUCGUAAUGCCUCUUUCGUGAAUAUAAUCGAUCUUCCUCCGCGCGGUUGUGGAGUAGUGCGCUCCUCUUGUGGCGUAGUUUGUUGAAGAGGCGUCGUAGUUUCUUACGUUGGUAGUUGAGUAGGCGGUGCGGCUCUAGAAGAUGACGCUCCAGAACUAUAAAUGUUGAACCCUCCCGCGGGGUGCGCUGCAUCGUUGUUGAAGAUUGGCGGAAACUCCGGUAAGCGCAAGUUCGGAUUUUGAGCGAGCAUUGCUUUGUUGUAUUGUUCGAAAAACGUCAUUUGACGAGCCAUCGCCUCAUUCUGACGAGCCAUCGCCCUCUCGACAGCCUCGUUGACCUUAUCUUCAACCUCUGCUUCUGUCAUAGCAUCUUUUCCUUUAUCCAUGCAGAAGUUCCCCACAUUCAUCCGAUGCGUUGUCUUUUUGCUCAAUGAGGAACCAGUUGUUCCUAAUGUUCUUGAUUUCUUCGAGCUUCUACCGAUAAAUUCGGUUAUAGCAAAUUUGAUUAAAGCCUAAUUAAAAAGAAAAGAUGAUAAUAAUUAAUGAAUUAUAUUGGAAAAAAUAUGAAAUAAGUACCGUAUUAGUCAUAUUUUUUUGUUGAGCCAUAUUUUUGGCUUCUUCAGUGUCUAUCCAUUUAACCGCUUUAUCCUUAAAAAACAAAUGAAAGUAGUCAAACAAAUAAUAAUUAACUGUAAUUUAAAUUUAAAAGAUUACGUACCACUCGUUCGUCUUUUGGAUAAGCUGUCUUUAUAUUGAGUUUUCAAAUUUCAAUAUCAAUAUUUAAUCCCUUUUGUUCCUGUAAUAUUAAAAUUAGGAAAAGAAAGAAAAAAGAACUUGAAAGUAAAUAUGAAAUUAAAUAAUGUACUUACAGUUUCGUAAUUUCUUUGUGCUAAACUUUUCGAACCUAAACUAUGUGAUGUUUGUUUAGCCCGAUUGUCUUUGUUAAUUUCAGAAAUUUCCUAUAUUAAGUUAAAAUAAAAUAAUUAAGUUAAAAAAAAUAAAAUAAUUAAGUUUUUAAUUGCAUUUAAAAAUAAGAAAUUAAUUAAUACGUACUAAUCCCCUCGGUGAUCUUCUUUCGAUCAGCUUUUUUAGAAAUUGUUUUUUGAUGAUGUAGUCGGGUAAUGUUCUCAUAACCUCUUCGAAUGUUAGAUCUUUGUUAUUAUAUUUAUCUAAUAAAGAGUUAUAAGCGCUUCUCCAUAAUUUGUUUAACCUUUCAUUGACACGUCAAUAACCAAAGGUUGACCCGCUGUAAUCAAAUUCUCUCUGUUCGAUGAAUAAUUAUAAAAUUAACUAUAAAAUCUAUAAUAAUAAUUAAUUGUCAUCACCUCAUCUAUGUUUUUCUGGUCUUGUUCAAUCCACGGUACGUCCAUUGGUAGUAGCUUGAAAUCGUUCGCGACCAUUGCGCAUUUCUUGUUUAGUUUUCUUGCUACGCUAUCGUGGACAAUUUGAUCAUUUCUGAAUUUUAUUACAAACCGUUGUCCUUGUGAUGGAUGAUAUUCAGCAUGAUCUUUGUUUUGUUCUCUUGUUUUUUUCUUCGUUUGAUCACCAUCGCACCCAGCCAUGUUCAUGUCAUGUAGAUUCGGAUGAUCAUAAUUUUGUUCAUCAGUUGAAUGAUCACUCUGAUCGGGAGUCGUGACGACCAUGAAAACCGAUAGAACGAAUGCUACUAGUAACCAAUACAUCUAAAUAAAUAAAAAAGAUAAUCUAAUUAAUUAAAAGAUAAUAUAAAAUAAAAAUAAUAUUCAAAUUCAUUAUACAUCGUCUACAUUAAAUAUUUGUCUAUGAGGUCUGUUUAAUACAAAACUCCUAUUAGAUUCAAUAGGAUCUAUUGAAUAAAAACAUUGUUUAGCUUGUUCGGCAAAAAUAAACGGUUCUUCCCCGUAUUUUGGCAUAGACGUUUUCACACUAACCAGACCGAACUCGUCUUUUUUAUCCUUCGUACCAUUUGCAGUGAAACAUGGGAUAUUUCAACAUAUCGUGUCCGUAACAUACUUCGAAAACUUUCUGAAGAGUUCCAUGGUACGAAAGAUCAUCAAUUUUCGGAUCGUCAUUUGGAUUUUUUAAGUAUGUGGAUGUAGUGGCGGAGACUAAGAUACCGUGAUUGUGUCUUUUUUAAAUUUGACACUUCAAACGAAAGAAAUUUUACUCCGUUUAAGAUGUAGCCGUUGUACGAUUUUAGGAAGAAAUUUGGACCUCUUGAUAUCGAACAAAUAUCUCGUGAAAUAUUCUCGUCCUUGCCUCUAUAGUAACCAUAGUAACCAUCGAUAUAUCUUUCCGUUCUAUUUGACUUAGUUUCAAUGUUAUGUAAAAAACGUGAACAGAAUGUCAUAGAUUCGUCGACCAGAUAUUUUUCUGCAAUCGACCCUUCAGGAUGACUACGGGUCCGAACGUAUUUUUUCAAAGUCAAUAGAUAUCUUUCAAUUGGAUACAUCCAUCGAUAAUGAACUGGACCAGCCACUUUAGCUUCACUUGCAAGAUGUACUACUAGAUGUAUCAUUAUUGUAAAAAAACUCGGAGAAAAUAUUUUUUCCAAGUUGCAUAAUGUAAUAACGAUGUUUUUUUCCAAUCUUUCCAUAUCUUCAACUACAAUCGUCUUAGAACAAAUCGCGUUGAAAUACUUGCAUAUGUCAACUAAAACAGAUGUUACCUUCGGAUGUGUUGAUCGACGUAACGCAAUUGGAAGUAAUUGUUGCAUUAUCAUAUGACAAUCAUGACUUUUCAAACCUGUAAACUUCCUUUCUUUCAAUUUCACUUUUGAUGAGAUGUUGGAUGCGUACUCAUACGGAAAUUUGAGAUCAUGAAAUACUUUACAGAAAAUCGUCUUUUCUUCAUUAUUGAGAUUGAAUAUCGCCUUUGGAAUCUUCCAUUCAGAAUCAUUAAUCUUUACUGGAUGUAACUCGGAACGAAUUUUUAUUUCUUGAAGAUCCAAACGGGCACUCAAAUUGUCUUUCGAUUUGCCAUCCAUUCCCAAUAAAGAGUUUAUAAUAUUGUCGCAAACAUUUUUUUCAGUAUGCAUAACGUCGAUAUUAUGACGUAUCAACAGAGUCUUCCAAUACGGCAAUUGAAAGAAAAUACUAACUUUUUUCCAUCCAAGAGGUAAGGACAUGACUUUCAUCUUCUUCUUUGAUGGUCUCUCAUCGUUUUUGCCGAAAAUAAUAGAAUUUCUAAAAAAAUUCAAAUUCAGAAAUACCUCCUCUCCCAAGGGUCGUUUAGGCGCUUUUUCGUUUUCGAUUUUGUUAUUGAAAUCUUUUUUAUUACGCCUAUACGGAUGGUCUUUUUCCAAGAAACGACGGUGUCCAAGAAAAGACUCUUUCUUUCCAUAUUUCAAUCGAACACUACUCGUUUUUUCAGACAAACUGCACAUGCCAAUUUUCCUUUCGUGCUCCAACCAGAAAGAUCACCAUAUCCAGGAUAAUCAUUAAUUGUCCACAUCACUGCAGCAUGCAUUUGAAAGCUAUUCUGAGUAACCACGUCAUAUGUAGUGACACCAGUGGUCCAUAAAAUUUUUAACUCAUCAAUCAGUGGUUGUAAGUAGACAUCUAUAUCAUUUCCAGGUGAGGUAGGCCCGGAAAUUAGAAGACUCAAAAUAAAAUUGGGUUGUUUCAUACACAUCCACGGAGGAAGAUUAUAAGGCAUAAGAACGACUGGCUAUGUGCUAUGAGAAACUGACAUCAUACUAAAUGGUUUAAAUCCAUCGCUUACAAGUCCCAAUCUGAUAUUACGUGGUUCAGAAGCAAAAUCGGGAUAUCGAUCGUCAAAUUGUGUCCAUUGCAAUGAAUCUGCCGGAUGACGAAGAAUUCCAUCUUUUUUCCGAUCAUUUUUAUGCCAAGUCAUUCAUGUAGAAAUAUCUUUACACAAAAACAAUCUUUUAAGUCGUGGUAUCAACGGAAAAUGUCUCAAAUAUUUGGCGGGAAUCCGUUUUUUUUUUUCAUCAUCAUCAUCAUCUUCGUUCAACCACCUUGAAACACCACAUGUAGGACAACUUUUGCAAUCUCAUCCAUUUUGCAACUUUUUAAAAACAUUAUCAACUAUUUUAAUAUUCUGUUUUAAUUGAUGUUGGUAGUUGCUGGAAUAGUGUUUUAAUUGAUGUUUUAAUAUUCUGUUUUAAUAUUAAUCUGUUUCAAUCUGUUAUAAUGUUUUAAUCUAUAAUCUGUUAUAAUGUUUUAAUUGAUUAUCAACAUUUAAUCUGUUUUUAAAUUUUUAGGUAGUUGCUGGAAUAGGUAGUUUCUGUUUUAAAUUUUUAAUCUAUAUGAUAUUUGAUCUAAAUGUUUUUUAAUUUAGAUUAAAACUGCUUUAAAAACUGUUUUAAAUGUUUAGAUUAAAAUAGUUGAAAAUGUCUAUAUGAUAUUUGAUCUAAAUGUUUUUAAAUUUUUGUUUUAAUUUAAUCAAAUAGGUAUGUUCUGUUUUAAAUUCUUUUUGAAUUUUUUAUUUAAAUAUUAUAUUUUAAUUAAUUAUUUAAAUUUUCUCUUUUAAUUUAUGACAUUUUUUUAGAUUGAAUUGUUGUUGGAUUUUGCGUCUCCGAUAUCCGAUCUCCGUUCCCCGCUGUGCCGAACUGUUUUUAAUUAUUGUUGGACCAUCUCACGCCAGGUGUUUGUUUUGAUUAAGGUAUGUAAUUUACAAAUUAAUUAAGGUCUUUUGAUAUUGACUAUGUGUUGCGAUAUAUAGUUUAUGAUAUUUUGUUGUGUUUAUUGAUCGAUAUAUAUGUUAUGUGUUGAUAUUUUUUUGUAGGUAUUUACGGAUUGUUGUAAUUAGCAUUUCCGGUUGAAAUUCAAUUUGCGUUUUAAUCUUCAUCGAUCGUUGAGAGUUUUAGGAUGCCGGCGGCCAGGCCGCCAGCUCACUUCUUCCCGACCGUUGGGAAAAUUGGAGCUGGCGGCCAGGCCGCUGGCAUAUUUUAAAAAAAAGAUACCGUCGGCCUGGCCGCCAACUCAUUUUUCUCAUUUACGAGGGAAAAUUAUGUCGGCGGACAAGUGUAACAUUCCGGUGGCCUGGCCGCUGGUCGUAUCUACCGGGAGAUGGGCGCCAGAAUUGCGCUGGUUUUUUGUAGUGCUACCAUCUCGACGAUUUGAUUGGUAGAUAUAUUGGUAAAUACCAAUUUCAUCUGAAGGAUAAAUUUUUUAGGGUUACAUCAAAAGACAUUGGUUAUAUUUUUUCACUUCCAUUUUCUGGUUCUAUUAUUCAAGUUGGUAGAAGAGAUGAUAUUGAAUAUUCUACACCAUUCUGGCAAAAGUAUUUCAACGUCUCACCAGUUACUAGGUGAUUCAUUUUUUACUUUAUUUUUAUUUAAUGUGGAUAUUUUACUUAAAUAAUCUAAAUUACCAAGUACAAUGAUAUGGUCAAUGAUGUAUUUAAAUCUGUUGUUAUAUCAAUGAAUUUUGAAAAAUAAAAUAUCAAUGACAUUUGUCGACAGUGGUUCUGCCUAUUAUGUUCUUGUUUCCUCACUCCUACUUCCAAAACUUUGAUUCCAAUUAAAUUAUUUUAUUAUCUAGAGAUAUUGAAAGAUAUUCCUAGUCUUAACUGGUCCCAAUAUAUUUUUGAUCAAAUUUUUAAUAAUAUGGAGGCUACUUGUUAUUCUGUUCGUCGUCGUGAGAAAAACGGCGACAAGGUUGGUGAGUACAUUCGCGUAUAUGCAUUUUUCUUAAAUGUAAGAUUUAAUUUUUAUAUCAUUUUUUGUUCAUUUAUUCUUGAUUAGUUGUAGUUGAUUAAUCGAUUUAUUUUUUCCUAGGUUUUUUUGUGGGGGCACACAACACUCUUUCGUCGUAAGUCACCUCGUAAUCGAUAUAUUUUUCAAAGAUAUCAGGGAAAUCCGAGGAAGAAAAAUCGGACAAUCGCGUCUUUGAAAAAUAUGGAGGUAAUUAAACUUUAUUGUGAUAUUUAUUGAAUUUUAUCUAUUAACUUAUGUUAUAUUUUAUGUUACAGGUUUCUGAGUUUCCUCUAUCAUAUAAGAGUUAUGGACCACCACCAGAGGUGUAAUAUAAUUUAUGUAGAAUUUCACAAGAUAAUCUAAAUUUAUAGUCUAUCAUAUAAUAUUUCUCAUAAUAAAUUCUAUCUAUUUUUUUGAUAUGUAAUAUUUUGUACUCAUUAUUUUACUUAUUCAUUGUAGAAUAUAACAUCUAAAUUCUCAAAGGAAUACCCUCGUACAUUGAUCCAACCGACUCUACAUCAAUUUCUUCAUAUUAGAAAAAGGAAGAAAAUUAAUUUGAAUCAUAAGGUUGUAUUCUACUUCUAUUCGAUUUGUUAAAUAUUUGAUUUAAUUAAAUACUAUUAUAAUUUUUUCCAAAUUUACAAUUCUAUAUUUCAGUGUGAUAUGUGGAAACUUAGAAAUCGUGGUAGUACCUCAAAAGGUAAAUACUGUAUUAUAUUUACCGAAUUUUGAAUAAUAUUCUAAUAUAGUUACUAUAUUCUAUUUAUUAUAUCAGCUUACUUGUAAUUUAAAUGUCUUAAAUUUUAUAUAUAUGUAUGGAAUUGUAGAUUGACUAAUUAGUUAGUUUGUUAAAUAGGUGACUACGUUCAACCGAUAGAAAUUCAUUCUUCUUCAAGUAUGUCAUCCAGUCUGGCGCUGAUAAAUUUUCAAUUACCGGAUAUUCUUUCUACAGAGCUAAGAAAUUCUUCAUCCUUUGAUCUAAAUUUGGAAUAUGUUAGUCCGAUAAAAUCUAGUGUUCUUCCUAGUAGUAUCGUUCCUGAAGAUAUCGAUUUGUGUCAUCAAUCUAGCCCCGAUGCUGAUAAUAACAUUAUUGACCAUUGUCAGUCAGUUUCAGUAUCCAAAUCAAAUUCAACAAUCAAGUCAUCAUCGCCUAUACCAAUGUCUGAUCCUAUGCCUAUCGAUCUUCCUCUCAAUAUUUUUAUGAAUAAUCUUAAUCAUUCGGUAUGUAAUGAAGAUUUAAUUAAUUCAGUUAGUUGCAUCGAUCUAAAUAUGAACUAUGUCAGUCCGAUUAAGGCUAUCUGUCGACCUAAUUUCGAUCUUCUGAACAUUUCGGAUUUGUCUAAUCAACGAAAUGCAAGUGCCGCUAUAGACAAUAUCUAUCAUAGUAAGUCAUUUUCAUUGACUAAAUCCAUUAACUGUAUCAAAUCUUCUGAUAUUAUACAGCAGUCAUUUAUUACUCUGGCCGAGCCGAAGAUGUGUUUAGAUGGUGUAACAGUUGCACUACAGCUGGACUCGGUUACAACCCGACUCAAAGAAGAUCUAGGACUGGUGAGUCAAGAACUUGAGGAACGAGCUAAUGAACGGCCUAACAGAAUCAGGCCGGGAAAGAAGAACAGUAGUUUUGUAUACUAUUGAAUAAGUUGUUGUAAUCCUAGUUAGUUACUUUGUUGUUAACAUUGAAAGUCCAUAAAUAAGAUAACAUAAACUCAAGGGAGUGAUGCAACCAAUUCAGUCCUCUAAAACUUAUCAUCUCCGGCUCCCUAGGGAGAUUUCUUUUCCAACCUCCAACUCCUCUCCGAGAGAUUGCUUUUCCAACCUCCGGCUCCCAAUCCGGGAGAAUUCUAAUGACAGCGCAGUUCGACGGUCUAACGUCGUAACAUUGGUGCUUUCAAUUGAUUACUUGGACGAUCUUCGACGGAGGCAACGGCGAGCACAAUCGAGAACGACUAUAAAUUUCAAAACAAAACUCGCCAAGGCGUGUUCCAGGCCACAACUAAAUUCGUCCAAGGGAAGCAAGAUUAAUUGAUUCUUGCGUUUUAAUUUUUUUUAGAAUAAUUGAAUUCUGUUCAAUAUGACAGAAACAACCACCGACUCCUUAGAGGACAUCUGGGAAGAAUUGUGCAAAGUAGUUACAGAUCAGUCGUCGCGGUUAGCUCGGCAAGAAUCGACGAUCUCCGUCAUGUCAGAACAAAUGGGUGACUUAAAGGCGAUGAUGAGAGAGAUGCUCAUUGGGGAUGACGCAAAAUUCGGGCACGGCCGAACAGAAAACAUUGAAACAAAUAAAACUAGACUUACCCAAAUUUUCAGGAAGUGACCCGGACGGAUGGAUUUUCCAAGCCGAGGAGUACUUCACCUUUCACGGCAUUGUAGACGAUUCACGAAUCUAAAUAUCUGGAUUCCACAUGACCAAAGCAGCGCUCGGUUGGAUGCGAGGAUUACGGCAAAAUAAAUUACUAUCCACUUGGGAUAAAUUUAAAGAAGAUUUGCAUGAAAGAUUUGGGGGAUCGGUGUUGAUAAACUUCAGGAACUAUCACGACUCCAGCAAACGUCAUCAGUGAUUGUUUACCUAGAACAAUUUGAAGAGCUUUUAAAUGAAGUCUCAGGCCAGUCAGAAUCAGCCCUAAUCAGUUUCUUUAUUGGGGGACUAAAGUCAGAAUUGAAGGGAGAAUUGAAAAUACGAGAACCGACAACGCUACGCAAGGCUUUCUCAUUAGCCAAAGUUUAUGAAGAACAUUGUGGGAGUGGCAAGAUCGGAGGGUCAUAUUCAAAAUCAAAACCUCUAAUUAAAAUACCACCGGCCGGAGCCAAAGGAGUUCCGAUUGUACGAAAGAUGUUGACAGCAGAAGAGCGCAAGGAACGCACAGCCAAGAGGUUGUGUUUAAACUGUGAUGACUCCUACUUUCCAGGGCACAAAUGCAAGGGUCGUCUGUUUAGAAUGGAUGCUGACCGAAAUUGUUUAGUGGAACUGGUCGAGCAACCAGAGAUAGGGGAAACGGAGGAUAUUAGCGAAGAAACAAGAACAACAACUAAAAUAAGUCUACACGUUUUUUCAGGAACAUUCAACCCACGAACGAUCCGUUUGAAGGGGUGGAUACAAGGCCGGCCGUUAACGAUACUCAUUGAUAGUGGGAGCACCCACAAUUUUAUUCAAGAAGAGGUGGCCACUCGAUUGGGGUACGGAAGAGAAGAAUUACCAGCAUUUAAAGUCUUCAUUGGAAGCGGAGAGUUCUUAGUAUGCAAAGAAGUUUGCCGACAGGUUUCAAUAUCAAUUCAGAACACGUGUAUAAUGGAAGAUUCAUUUGUAUUGUCUAUGGGAGGCGCUAAUGUCGUCCUAGGGAUUCAGUGGCUGGGGAAACUUGGACCAGUUACAACAGACCAUAAAGAACUUAGCAUGGAAUUCUGGGAUGGUGAUAAAAAAAUUCGGUUACAAGGUGAUAAGCAUUUAGCAGAUUCAGAAAUUUCACCAUCGGGAUUAAAACGUUUAAUGGCUAGAGGUGAGGUUGCAUAUUUUUGUCAAUUACAAUGUGAAAAAAUGGAAUUACUGGAACAGGUGGCACGUCCGGAAUUAGCAGAAAUUUUAGAAGAAUUCAAGGAUGUGUUGGAAGAACCACAAAAAUGUUGGAUCGUGAUCCGAGGCUAUAAGGGGGGAAAAUAGUCUCUUUUCGAUUUGUGCAAAUUAAUAGCGAAAUUACCUGCACACACUUAAAUACACAAAUGGUUGUAUAAUAAUAAUAGUAUAAAUAUUGUUAGCAAUAUAAUACUAUUAUAUGAUUUUAAGGAAUAUAAUAUUAUAUCUUAUAAUAUUAUACAGGAUAUAUCAGGAACGACCCUGUCCGCAACAGAGCACGGUGAGGUACCUUACCUCUGCACCCUCCGAUUGUCUAUCUACCGUCGCCCAUACCCGAUUGUCUAUCUACCGUCGCCCAUACCCUGCCUAUCUACCGUCGCCCCAUUCCGCGGAACUCGAUCGCGGUUCGGCGGAACUCGAUUUCGAUUCCGCCGAACCCAUCGCGAGUUCCGCGGAACCGAAAUCUGCCGAUUAUGAUGAAGUCGGCAUUAUGAUGAAGUCUGCCGAUUACUAUAGUGGUAAAGCUUCUGCAGAUGAUGGAAAACAGAUAUCUCUGUUGCCGAACCCAAGUUCAAUUCCUGCUCAUCAAUCGAUCAGCAAUCAGCAAAGGUUGAUCGAUGACGACAAGGACAGGGACAAGGAUAACUGCAUUGUGGUUGAGAACGGCCCUCCGCUGCCUCCUCCCGCAUUGCCCAGUGUGUCACCGUCGUCGUCGUCGAGCUCUAGUAUGAACACUGGAAGUAAAGCCCCCAUCAUCAUCUCUAAUUCAAGCGGCAUUUUCACCACAUUAACCAACCGAGGUCGGGCACCACGUACUAAGCGGCGCAAAUUUAUCCCAAAACAUCCUCUGAACAAAAGACCGGUGGAUUUUCCGAUCCCUGCUUUGGAAUGUGACAUCACGGAAGAGAGGCAAUCGAAGAAGCUGAAAACGGUCCACCCAUCCUCGACGAGUGUUGAAAUCAAUCUUCCUCCAACUCCAAGCAGUCAACCACAUUUGGUUCCCUGUCAAAAGGAUGAAGAAACAAUACGAAAUUGCUCGCAUUGCCGGGCAGUUGUUACGCCGCAAUGGCGUCCGAUGGGUCCCAAGACUCUCUGCAACGCCUGUGGUGUUCCGCCGAACCCAUCGCGAGUUCCGCGGAACCGAAAUCGCGGUUCGGCGGAACUCGAUCGCGGUUCCGCGGAACUCGAUCGCGGUUCCGCGGAACUCGAUCGCGGUUCGGCGGAACUCGAUUUCGAUUCCGCCGAACCCAUCGCCAAUCUCCGGGGAACCUCCGCUCGCCGAACAGAGCAACGACCGUCCGGAUGGCGGGGAACCUCCGAUUUCGAUUCAAUGAACGGUCGAGAAUUUUUUGGAAAGAUGGACGGCCGGAUCUGAGGUCGUCCUACUACCGGCCGUUCCAAAUGUCUUCCCUAUAUAUAUAUACUUCCUUAUCAUUUAUUUUCCAAUCCAUUUAUUCCCAAUAUAUACCUAUUUUCUAAUCCAUUUAUUACCUUAAUUAAUCACACCAACCAAACUCACCAAAUCUAUAUAGCCGUUGAGAUUAUACCUAUAAGAAUGAAUCACCAUAACACAAACACUAGGUUUUUGAAUCAUCAAGUUGUUGGUCCUAAAAUCAUCAUUUUCUUCAAUCUGUCUUCUGGAAUCUGUAAUCUGUCUUGCUAUAUUCAAAUCAUCCGAUCAAGUCAUCUGCUGAUCACCUGGAGAUCACUCAUCCGAUCUGUUCAUCGUCUUCAUCAUCUCCAGCACUCGCCUCUUGUAAUCAUCUCGAAUCUGCAUAAUCAUUUACUUUCAAGAUAUUAUCAUUCAUAAACUGCUACAUACAUUUCAUCAUUAACUUAAUCAUACAUCGUAGUAGCAAUUCUAAUAUAUGGUAUCAGAGCAGUAAAAGAUCUUGCUAAUCAUACAACAACAAGUCAAAGUUUUUUUUCAUAAGUUAAAGCUUCUUUUUAUAAGUAUUUUUUAAGGCUUCCUUUUUCAGCUUCAUCAAAAGAAACAUCUCAUAAUCUGGAUCAAUUUCACCAUCCCCACGAUUAAUUCCAUCAGUAAUUUACUGAGAAAAUCUGUUUAUAUCAUCUGGAUCCAUAAUCGAAGUAAGAUUAUUCUAUACAUCAUCCAUAUUAUCUAAUAUACCAUCAAUAUCAACAGAACUGUUUACAUUAGCAGACUUGCAUCCCUCAUCCUUCACAUCAGAGACUCCCAAAUAUCCUUCAUUUUUUACACCUAAAGAAAAUCAGAUAAUGUUCAUCAUAUUUUUUUAUCUCUGUAAAUAUUCAUCACGUUUUUUUUUCCAUACAUAUUUCAUUAAAAGUUUUUCAUACAUAUUUUUCAUACAUAUCUCUGGAACUCAUGCACUACUUCAUUUACUUCACUACUACUAUAUUAUGUAUUUGCACUUACUUAUGGAAUUAGUUAACUUAAAUACUUAAUGACAUCGAUCAUCUUUGCAAAUACAUUAGUUAAGCAUACAGAUGCACGAGUUCUAAGACCUUGUGAUGUUUAACAUAGAUGAGGAUGGCCUCUUUAACUUGACUGUUAAGGACAAAUCUUCUGAAGCUAGAAUGACUAUUACCAACGACAAUAAUAGAUUGAGCCAGAAAGAGAUUGAUAAGAUGGUAGUCGAUGCCAUGAUCUACAGAAACGAAGAUAUGGAAAAGAAAAAGAAGGCCGACGCCAAGUCUGGAUUGGAAACCUACGCUUACACGAUAAGAAAUACGACCAGGAAUGCGGAUAUUGGAUUUAAACUGAUGUCAAGUAAGAGAAAAGCGAUGAAAGUUGUGGUCUUGGAUCCUCUAAAAUGAUCCGAUGAGACUUGUUCGGUAAGAACAAAAGCUCAUGAAUUUGAUUCGGAAAAGAGGAAGCUUGAAAAUGUAAGGGUCCAAUAGGCCCAAUUCAAUAUAUCAAAAUUUAAUUUAUGCUCAAUUACUUUCAUACCCCUGUGAUUAUUUUAAUCACAGAUUAGGCAAGGAAAAUUAGAAUAAUAAUCUUCAUCUAGGGUUUAUGUGUUAGUUACGGAAAAUUAGAAUCUCUUCCACUCUUUUUCUGUCGCUCUUCUGUUCCUCUAGAACCCUAAAAUCUCAUCUCUGCUCUCUGUUAAUCAUACUCUGUAUUUUAUCUUUUUGUUUUUCAUUCUAUAAAAAAACAAAGGUUUAGUUUGAUCUUGGCUCUUGCCAAGCCCCAAAUACUGUGUGUGCGUGCUCUCCAACUCUCACUUGACUCUCUUCUCUCUCGCGAUCGCUCACUCAACAACAAUCACGGACCAGCCAAAUCUUCAGAAAAGAUCCGUAAUCAAAUCAAAGCAAAGCUUUGUUUGUGAACUAGCUACCUGUACCUAUGGUAUUUACUUAAUUUAAAUAUAUAUUGUUAUUUUGAUUUUGGGGGUUCCUGGAAUCCUGGCUAGUGGCUACCGCCUACCGGUUAAGUAUAUAAUUUAAAUUUAGGUUUUUUUUUUAUAUUGUAAUUUUGUAUAAAUAACAAUAAGUAAUCAUUAAUUAAGAUUUAAGUAUAAACAGUAAAUGUAAUUUUUUGUGUAAAAUCAAUCUAAAUAUUAAUAUCUGUAAUUCUAUCGAUCCAAAACUAGAGCACGCCGCAUCCUAAAUGUUCGAUGCUAUAACUAACCUACACGUCGUCACUCACCUGCCACCACCGGAAGCAGCGCCUCGACGACUCGAUCAACUCAUCAUUUGCACUAGAAUCGCAAUUCCCCGCUGCAUUCAUAAAUAUCUCAAUCCUAUCGUCCUCCGCUGCUCUGCUCACUCCAAUCGCCCGCCAUCGCCGCCCAUGGCAUACCAAGACGCACUCAACUGCCUCUCCUCCCUCAUAUCCAGUAAAGUUCGAGGUGUUGGCACCAAUCGUGGUGAUCGCUUCGAUAUCAUGCUGCACUAUCUCCAGGCAUGCUUGGGUGUCGCGAUUUUCUCUCUCUCUCUCUCCUCCCCUUCAUAUGCGUCAUUUCGUUGCUCUUCUUUUGUAGAUAUUAGAACUCGAAGAGCCAAUUUCCAAGCUGAAGGUGAUUCAUGUAGCUGGGACCAAAGGAAAGGUUGGUUUUAUUUUUUAUUUUUACUUCAAUUGACUGCUUGUUGUGAUUUUGAUGAUUUUUGUUUUUGCCAGGGAUCGACUUGUUCGUUUGCAGAAUCGAUACUGCGAAACUGUGGAUUCCGGACCGGUUUGUUUACUUCUCCUCAUUUGAUUGAUGUCAGAGAGAGAUUUAGAUUGGAAGGGUGAGCCUUUUAUGAAAUUUUAAACAAUCAAAAUUUACUCUCCCGAAUUUUGAGUCUUUCAUUCAACUCUUCAUUUUCUGUUUUUUCUAUCCCCUUAUUCUUUUUCAAUUGUACACUAUCCAGUAUUGAAAUAUCUGAAGACAAGUUUCUCGAAUACUUCUGGUGGUGUUGGAAGAAGCUGGAGGUAUGCACAUACAAACCGUUUUGAUUUCUAAAUGAAUUACAAUUUUCUUCGAGUUCAAUAGUUGAUUUUCACUUUUAAUUUACAAUUUUACAUGUUUCUUUUUCAUUUUAACCAGGAGAAAACUAAUGUCGAUGUUCCUAUGCCUCCUUUCUUUCGCUUCCUUGCCUUGCUUGCUUUCAAGAUAUUCACAAUAGAGAAAGUGAGAUUUUAAUUUUUCUUUUCUUUUUAUUAUUAGAAAAGUAAGUGUAUAUGAGGGCAAGGAGCUAGGUGGGUUAGUUAUUAGGAACUUUGAAGCUGCUGCCACUGCCUGUCAUAUCAAGAGAGCAAUUAAGUUCUGGUCUAAUGGUGAUUCCAUUCUCUCUUCUUGGGUUAUGAAUAGGUACAUCAAGGGCAGGAGCUUGGAAUCCAUCCUGCCUAGUCCCAUUAGAGAUUCAAUUAUGUGGAAGUCCAUUCUAAAAUAUAAAAGUGAAAUAGGAAGAUUAAUGGAGUGUAAUACCAAUUAUACUAUUAUCUUUACUACGUUAAAACAAGUGAGCUCCCUACAGCAAAAUAGCAGUGCACUUACCCCACCUAGAAUUCUAGAAAUCCUGAUCCCCUUGCUAAAGGUAUUUGGGCUAGGAAACCCACUAAAUUCUCAGUGUUUUUGUGGAGACUGAGAUGGAGUUUCCUUCCUUCAUUCCGCACCCUUAGCCAAUGUGGGAUCUCUACACCCUCCUUUGUAACCUUGAAACUGAGACUAUUGACCACCUUUUCUUUGUCUGCUCUUUUUCCCAAAACAUUCUUCUAUAUGUAUCAGAGAAUACCAAUCAUAUUUGGAAGAAUAGGAAUUUGCAGGUACCUCAGGGGUAGAUAUCAGUUUGGGGAAAGUAAUAGAUUGCUACAAUCUCUAAGGAUCGGUUCCAAUUGCUGGAGGUUACUCUGGACACUCCUGGGUGGGAUCACAUGGCAUCUAUGGCAGGAGAGGAAGUAGGAACAGAAGGUGGAAAACUGGUGUAUUUAAAUCCGCUGAUAUGGUUACGGCAGAGAUUGUAAAGGACUGCAUGAUUUGUUUUGAUGUCAAGGAUAAGCCUCCGGACUUGGGUACUCUUGAAGUUGCUUCUAUUGGACAAUAGAGGUGUUAAGGGGUCAUAUCUUUAUGUAUAUAUCUGUAAAAGUGGGCAAGGCCCGCUUCAUUUCUAAUGAAAUUUUAACUUUAUAAUAAAAAGUGUAUAUGAACUCCUCUAGAUGGUUAGAAAGAAAAAAUUCCAGUAGCAUUCAAACCUCACACACCCCUAGGAGGGAAGAAGAAAAACCCCGGUGAUGGUUGGAAAACCCCACAACUUGUGCGGAUCGGAUCACCACAGGAGUGUCGUGUCUUGGACCUGUCUCUGAACUGGAUCAGAUACUUCUCGAAUGAUCAACAAAGCAUGGGGUUUUAUUCCCAUCUUGAAAGGGUUGUCGGUACUUGAAUGGUGUUGAUCUCGUUCUGGAUCUUUUUUAUGAAGAAGUGAAUAAUAAAGUAACUAGGCUUGGGCCUCUUAGUACAAACCCAAAAGCCAAUAAUGACAUGAUGAUGAUAUGGCAGUGAAAAUAUGAAAUAACGACGACAUGUCUUCUCUGUCGAUUGAGACUUCUGGUCAGUUGACUAGUACCAGAAUUCAGGUGAUCGUUUUUUCUUGGAUUGAGCCUUGCAUGCCACUAGGUUCCCUCUCCAUGCUUCUAGUUUUUUAUUUAUUGUGCCUUGGCCUUGGUGAGUGCCUACUCAUCAGUAAUCCUCCUAGCACUGAACCCCCGAGGAGCAUAAACUCUAAACCCUUCAACUUUAUUUCGGUGGUGUGAAUGUUUGAUAUGGCCCGCUGAGCCUUAAUCCUGUUGAGUUUCUUUGCAUCAAUCACCUAUCCUUGACUCGGUUGAGAGCAACUUGUAUUGGGGCUAAAAUACUUUCUUCGCAUCAACUACUUUGUUAACAAUCCUUAAUUAAUUAAACUUAUUUUUUUGCAAAAAAAAACUAUUUAAUCUGGUAGGUACAAUUCUUUGAAUUCUAAUCAUUUGUCUACAUUUUAAUAAAUUUUGGAUGUGUUCAUCGUCAUUUAUUGGGGCUAAAAUAACAAUACCCAACUCCUUUUUGCAGGUAGAUGUUGCUAUCAUGGAAGUUGGUCUAGGAGGGAGAUAUGAUGCAACUAAUGUGGUAAGUGAAUUAUUUGGCAACCCUUUUCUUAUGCUUGUUAAUGUUUUUUGUUUGCUCAAUAAUUAAUAUUGAUUAGAGUCUAGAGACCAAAAUGCCAGUGCAUUCUCCUUGUAUUUAAGCUCAACAAAUAAAUACAAGAAAAAUCUUAGCCAUAGGGAGAACAUGUCUAUAAUGUAUAGUUAUUUCCAGUCGGUUAAAUUCCAAAUUUCCAAUGGUUAAAUUUUUUAGCCAAUGAUUCCAAGAAAAAACCCACUGGUGAUUUCUUUUAUGCUGCACAAAUAAACAGCCAUUAAAAAUGCUUUCUUAUAAAAACAGAUUGUGAAUGGUUAGGUAUUUGAAAUGUUGUUUGUAGUUUCGUAGUUUGCUACUUUAAAUCAAAUGAUUUGGAAUGUAGUUGGAAUUUGGAACUAAUGGUUACUUUUCAGGUGCGAACACCAGUUGUUUGUGGAAUAUCAUCCUUAGGAUACGAUCAUACGGAAAUUCUUGGUUAGUGAUUUUGUAGUUGAAUAUUAUAAAUUUUAAUCUUUAAAUUUAUUAUCUCUGCUUUUUCUUUUAUCCAUAUCACUCAAAAUUCAUAUAUUCUGUAGACUUGUCACGAGAUCCUCGACUUUUCCUUAAAAGUCAUUCGAUUGACAUUUUAUUAUUUUAUAUCAUAUUGUUAUAUAAAAAAUAUCUUCAGAAAAUGUGUGAUGUUGCGUGAAUCAUAUUUUUAUAAAGUCCAGUACAUGGAGCUUGUCAGAAUAACAGGUAGAUGCUCAAGAUGAAUCUUAUUCUUCAAUCUCUGGUAAAUGUGUAGGUAUUUAUCAUGGAUAAGAAGAAGAAAGAAAUUUAAUUAACAAUUUGAAACUAACUGAUUGAAUAUGAUUUUUUAUUAAUCAAAUUGUCAUCUGAAAGUCAAAAGUGCUAUUAUAAUAGCUGGACGGCUUAACUGAACAUAAAAUCAAAUUCACAACAAUUUUGACUGUAAUUGAAACAACAAACUUAAUCCAGUUCUUACUGGAUUUCUUGUAAAAUUUCGUUGUCUUAUUUAAUUAGGGAAAACUCUAAUCAGUGAUGAGUGAUAUAUCUAUUAUGCAUGGUUUUCUUUGCACACAUAUGCUACCAUGCGCAAAAUCCCCAUCGCCUAAUAUGGGGGUCACCUAUUUUGGAUUAUUAGGUGGAUCCGAGUCGGAUUCAGAUUGACCCACACCAAAUAACCAUACCUAUUUUCAUCUUAAUUAUUAUGCACAAAUAAUGAUGUUAGAUAUUAAAUUUUGGGUUAUUUCUUUCCUAACAAUCUUCAUGUGAAAUGUUGGAUUAUAACAUGAUUUGUUGAUAAAAAUAUGAUUUUUAAAUGUACAUAUAUAUUUUUUUGUUGGAGCAGGGUAUACAUUGGCAGAAAUUGCUGGGGAGAAAGCUGGUAUUUUCAAGGUUCUGGAUCCAAAAUGGAAAAUACUGAAGAGAUCUUAACUUUUAAGUUUUAAUAUUCAAUUAAUUUGUAUAUCUAUUUAUUUUAUGCCUGCAUUUACUCUUUUUACAGGAAACAGUUCCAGCAUUUACCGUUCAUCAACCACAGGAAGCUAUGCAUGUUUUGGAGGAAAGAUCAUCUCAAUUAAAUGUAUGUUUGUUUAGAGUUGGCAGCUGGAUCAUCUCAAUGAAAACUGUAUGGCUUGUUUUACAUGACAUGUUUAAAAGGGUUUUUUCACUAUGUUCACAGAUCCCUCUUCUAAUAGCACCACCUUUGGAUAUUGCAAAGUUAAAUGGUCAAAAGCUUGGACUUGACGGUGACCAUCAAUAUUUAAAUGCUGGUCUUGCUGUAUCUCUCUGCCAUACAUGGCUGAAAAAAAUGGGACAUUCAGAAAACAUACAUCUGGAUGGAAAUGUGAGCAUGCAUCACAUUUUCUGCAUUUAAAAAAAUCUUGUUUGCAUUAUUAGGUAUUAAUCUUUUUCCUUUGCCAAUAUGGAACAGUUUGUUCUUCCAGAAGAGUUCAUUAGGGGACUGACAACGACCAAGUUUCCUGGAAGGGCACAGAUUGUACAAGAUCCACAUAACAGUAUGCUAAGCCAGGGGGGUGUUAAUUUUGGAGGCUUGACAUUCUACUUGGAUGGUGCCCAUAGCCCAGAAAGUGCAGAAAUCUGUGCAAAAUGGUUUUCCGAUACCGUGAAAAAGGAGAAAGAACAACUGGACUCCGAUGCAAAAAAUGUAAUUUAUGAUCACUUUUUCUGUUUCUAUCAUGAUUUUAUUAAUGCUGCUAUAUGUUGAAAAAAUACAAUAUGCAGAUACUUUUAUUCAACUGCAUGUCCGUAAGAGACCCUCAACUUCUACUUCCAAGAUUAGAGAACGUCUGUGCUGAUCACGGUAAAUUUACCUUCUAAUCUUUUUAAUUUUCAGAUUACGGAAAUAGAUUGAUUAUUCAUUAAGUGAAUUGACUCAAUCAGGAAUUUACUUCCACAAAGCAAUUUUUGUACCAAAUCAAUCAGUAUACCAUAAGGUAGGUUCAAAUACCUUAACAACCAAUGAUUCUUCUUCCCACAUUGAUCUGUCAUGGCAGCAAAAACUUGAAAGAGUAUGGAGGAAGGCUGUUAAUGGUGACAAACGUUACAGCACAAAUGGUCUGUCUCUUUGUUCUUAAAAAUCAAAAUAUUAUUACAGUUUGCUGCUGAUAAUUCUAGAACAGAGAAUCUAAAUCCUGUGGGUUAUUGUUUUGAAUCAUUGCAGAUUACAUCAAAGACGAGAAAAGCGAUGCAAAUCAAAGCAACCGAUCCUGUAACGAGAUCAGUAUGGUUUUUGCUUCUCUUCCUUCUGCUAUUAGAUGGAUUAGGGAGACAGCUCAAAAAAAUCGUGCAGUUGGAUUUAAGGUUGAAAAUGUUUUUUCUUAGUGUCUUUACUUUAGUUAAAAUCACAAAGUGAUCUGAUUUAUCUUUACUUGUGGUUUGUUCUGGCAUCCCAGGUUCUUGUUACUGGUUCCCUGCAUCUUGUUGGGGACGUCUUGAAAUUGAUCAAGAAAUAAAGGACGGAACCAAGCUUAUUCAACUUAUUUAUUUCAUAUUGAUUGACUGAUUAUAUUUUUUAUUACUUAAUUUGUCCUCCGUACACUUGAGUAAUAAGAUUAUACACGACUGCUGUACUUUCUAGUUUGUAACUAAUUAACUAACUUAUUGUUAGUUGUUAGAUAUUUAGCAAGGUUAGUUAAUUUAACGAGAAUUCGAAGAUUGAUUUUUUUUUUUGAACCAAUUAAAUUUCAUUAAAAAAUAAGACAAUUAUGUAAUAGCAAAUAAAUCAAUUUUGUUUUUCUAUUCCAAUAAUUCUUGGAUGAUAUGAAGAAAUGUAGUACAAAAUCAUUUAAGAUACAUAAAACUCAAUGCAGAGGACAGAAGUGCAUGUAUAAAUUCUUCCCUCUCUCUACGUCCCGUAGUCGGGUAAUCGGAUAAUCGUUUGACUCGUUUAAUUAAUUGUUCAAACUUAUCUCAACAAAACACACACGUCGAUCGAUGGAUGAAUGGAUGGAUGCAUCCACGAUCGAUCCGAGUUUCAAAAUUUAAGGAGAAGGUGGCAUUGCUGCUGCUGCUGUCUUGGAUGGGGCCAUGGCUGGGGUGAUGGAUGCUUUACUUGGAGCCGGAGCACUCGUUGCUCCUCCGGAGCUCAACAACUCGCCCAUGGAACGGUGAGGUCCCACCUUAUUCGCCUCACAUAGGUUGGGUAGGAAAACACCUUCUCCGGCAGCAAGGUUGAAGUAAAGGUCGACGAUGUUUGGGCAGUUGUGGUAGCAUUGUGGGGAGCAAAGCAUGGAUGCGAAUUGGGGUUCGAGGAGUGAGUCUGAAGAGAUACCGACCAUGUUACGAUCAACACCGCAAUUCUUGAUACAUUCUUCAGUCUCGAUCCAGUCUGUUAUCUGAUCGACGAGUACCUCAGAUGUCCUGCACUUAUGUUCUAUCUGUCCUUUCUCUCUCUGAAUCCUCUCUAGAACGCAUCUCUUUGCCUGGAAUGACACCCCGAACGAGCAGAGAUCGGCGGGCAAAUCUUCGCACACUACGUUGGCCGAAGAUGGAGACAGCAGAAGGAAGAUUACUGAGGAAAAGAAAACGACGGUAGAGGAAGAAAAGUUGGCCAUGGCGAAUUAAUGCCUAAUAAGCAAAAAGGUAUGUAUGUAUGUAUUUAUUGGUGGGAUUGUGGUGGUGUGUUUAAAGACGCCUGUGUUUUUUUGUUAUUGUGUUUUUAUUUAGUUUGGUAUUUCGUCGAACAAUUUAUAGUCGGAAGAAAGUCUAAAGAAAGAAGACUUACCGACACCAUUCAUCUAUUCAUAGCUUCUUCCUUCCUAUAGCCUAUAGGGCAUAGGCUAAGAUAUUUUAUUAUAAAAUCAUUCAUAUCUUGAGAUGCCGUGAUCAACUAUAAAACUAAUAAUGAAAACAACACUGUAUUGUUGACUUUUCGUUCAUUGUUAAUUGGAAAAUUAAACCCAAAUCUGACUUUUCCAUUAAAAUUUAAGUAUUUCAAGUUUGAUCAAUCCAAUUUAAUUCCAUAUCACAAUUACACACACAUUCUUAGAUUUCUAUACCAUGCCAUCCAAUAUUUGCUUAAAUAUCUUCGUGCUUUUCUUCCUGUUUUCGUUAUGUUUCGAUAACCCACUUGCUAAAUCAUCUAUCCAAUCUGCUGUCAACAACAAGAACACCACUGGUUAUGGUGGAGGUGGUGGUACCGGCUAUGGUAGUCAAGGUGGUGGAGGUGGUGGUAGCGGCCACGGAAGUGGAGGUGGUGGUGGAGGAAUGGGUGGCGGCGGUUAUGGUGGAGGUGGUAGUAACGGCUAUGGUAGUGGAGGUGGUGGUGGCGGCUAUGGAGGUGGAGGUGGAGGAGGUGGAGGUGGAGGUGGUGGCUAUGGUUAUGGAAGCCCAUCGAGAGAAGAUACAAGUGUUUGUCCACAUACAAAAUCGUAUUGCCAAAGCGGUAAGUAGUUUGAAACAUAUAUAUAUAUGAGACAUUCUAAUAUUUUUGGAAGAUAAAUUAGCAAUAUUGUUAAAAUAAAUGUUAUGUGAUUAAGAGUGAGCAUGAGUCCGAGUCUGAACUGGACCCGUCUUGUUUUGAGGGCGUUCGGGGCGACUUUUUUGUCCUGUUAUCGUUCCGGACAUAAAAUGGGGUGAGUACGGAUCACGCAAAAUGAAAAUUUUCCAAAUUGUCCCCGUCUUUCAAGUCCGUCCGGUGUCGAGACGGUCCAACUUUUAUCCUUCAAUGACUCGUCUCCUCGCCAAAUCAGAUUAUAUCAUUUAAAUUUUUGCAGGUUAUUGAAGACAAAAGCACUAAAAUAAAAUGAAAGUGACGCGGUUCAAAUUUCAACGUUUGAUUUUUAUUAUCUAAGGGGUCAUUUGUGUUAUUGGGCUUUACCUUUAUGAUAAAUCUAAAUACCAUUGUUUUAACUUUUUUUUUUUUUUUUUUACUAUUGAAAAGGCUAACCCUAAACAAGAUCUUCCAUCUCAUCUUACCACAAAAAAAACCUUGAUGUCUUUGUUUUACAAAACACAAUUGAAGUUUAAACAAAGACUUGAAAGAUGUUCAUGUUAUUAUAAUUCGUGACCCACUAUUCGAACUUGCCGGUUAGCAUGUCCUCGACUUGCAUCUUCGUUUGUGUCGUUUCUACAACUUCGGUUAGGGUCUUCGCUGACUUUCUGACUAGCUUCGUCGCAUAGAUGCUACCUUUAAGGCCUCUAUGAAGGGACACAAUCACUGAGGGAUCGUUUAAGUCCUUGAUCUUCUGCGUCGAUGUCGUGAAAUGGGCCAUGUACUCCCUCAAGGUUUCGUCCCGCCUCUCACGAACUGCAAGGAGCGUCCCCAGAGAGGCUCUCUCCCGUCUUUGAUGGCUAAAUGCCUCUCAAAAAUUGACCUAUAUAGACGACGCUCAACCACCAACCGCGUCGCAGGCCAGGACUGAACGACACCUAAACCACGUCUCAUGUAUCCCCAUGGCAAACAGUGUACGGUAUGGGUGUCCGUCCGACUACUUUACGACCAUCGGCAAGGUGUGAACCCAACGCGUCGCAGACCGCCAUUCCGGAUUCCGCGGUUCAGACAUCGCGUUUCCGGAACUCGCGAUUCUGCGACUUGCGAUGUCGAUCGGAGUCGCAGAACCGCGAUUUCGGAACUCGCGAUGUGGAAUGAACGAUCGUGGGUGAUCUGACAUCGUACCCGAUCGAAGACAGACUGGAACCUCCAACCACGUACACCAACAGUGCACGACAUGGUGAAGGGACGGUGAAUGUACCUGCUUCUGCAAAAUCAUGACGGGCGGCCAGCAAAGGUCUUCGCCGAUGAACGACUAGAUGAGACAUCUGCAGCGAUCCGCAGUUGAAGGAACCGUAGCAAAAUCACGUCCUAUUUUAUUAUCUAAAUCACUCAUAUCUUACCUAUGCCAAUGUGAUGAAGGACACGUCAACACAACCGACGUAACAACCAUGGCAGUUAGUCGCUCGCUCCUAACUGACGACGCGAAAGCUACAAAAGACGAAGCCUUGCAAGGACUUCGGGGAGACGUUUUAUUUUGCCUUCAGGUAAUAUUUCUUCGUCACUCCUAGUCAUCUCUUUCUUCUUCUCUAACUUUGCUGGUGGAAUCCAGUGUUAAUCAACCGGUGGAUUCCGGCUUGCAUCACACCGCUCGUCAACUCGCACCGUCUGCCGAUCUCUCGAUUUCCUGAGAAAACUUUGACACUUCGUUUUGUAAUUUCUGUGAACUGUAUUUUCUUGUUUGAUUAAACAACUCAAUAAAAUCAAUUCUUCCUCUUGAGUUCUAUCUUCCAUCGGCGUGAAUCUCCUUCGUCAACCAUCGCGUUGGCUUUUCCCUAUCAGGUUGGUAUCAGAGCCAGUCGGACGAACAAUGUCAGGGCCCACGGGAACACCCGCAGAAGAAGAGAUUCGCAAAUCAGUAGCAGACUUGACUCGCGUUGUGAGCAAUUUAGCUCAGAUAGUCCAGCAACUGGCCACCGCUAACGUCAAUGUUAACACGGACAAGACAGCAACUCCAGCACCUCCUAUAAUCGAUCCAGGACCUUCAAAUUACCGACCGAGGACGUCCCGGAUAGAAGAGGAAGGAUCGUCAGAAUCCGAGGAUGAGUUAGUAGCACAUCGGGAGCAGAGAAGUCGGCGGUUCGAUUCUCGGCCAACUCUGGAAGAGCCGGACUCACAACAAAAUAGAGGAAAUUGGCAGUGGGGAAGGCAAGACGUUCGGGCUCAACGAUAUGAUCAGGGAGGGCACCGAUUUGGCAACGAGUACGGGUUCUAUAGGGCUCGGAUGGAGAUUCCGGAAUUCAAUGGCCAGUUACGCAUUGAAGCUACGCUUGAUUGGUUGUUGGAAAUUGAAAGAUUUUUUGACUGUAUGGAGGUACCGGAAAAUCGUCGGGUGAAGCUGGUGGUGAUGAAAUUAAAGAACACUGCUUCGGUUUGGUGGGAUCAACUCACUACCAAACGUGCGAGACGACGGAAGACACCGAUACAAAGUUGGGCUAAGAUGAAAUCGUUAAUUAGAAAACGAUUCUUACCCACAGACUAUGAGCGAGUCCUCUUUUUACAAUACCAGAAUUGUCGUCAGGGUGUUCGAAAUGUAGAAGAUUAUACAAUGGAGUUUCAGAGGCUGGCAGCAAGGAAUGAUUUAGAUGAGUCUGCAGAUCAGUCGGUAGCAAGAUAUGUGGGUGGAUUGAGAGUUACGAUACAAGAGAAAUUUCAACUCCAUACCAUAUUCACACUAGCAGAAGCCAUCAACAUGGCAACACACAUUGAGUCCACGUCCAGCAAGAACUUCAGGUAUGCAUAUUCAACCACCGGAGGCAGUGAGGUCAAAGAAAAAAAAAAUCCUUUACAAGACUUUCAUCGAACGCCUUCAGGGCAUCUCCAGAAUACUGAGACAACAGCAAAUAAAGGAACUUCGUUGGCGGCCGGAGGAAGUACUGCAACAAUGAGUGGCAUCCGAUGCUAUCGUUGUCAGGAAUGGGGACAUAAGUCAAACGUCUGUCCUAAACGAAGAGAAGCAAAUGUUUGUGCAAGAUGUGAAGAGUUGGUGGAAGAUAUGGAAGAAGAGGAGAUCACCAUGGGAUCGGAAGAAUUCGUAGCUGGGGAUGAAGGGGAGCACGUUGUUUGCAUGUUACAUCAAAUCUGUCUAACACCCAAGAUAGAUGAACCCAGUCAAAGAAAUAAUCUGUUUCGUACCAGGGGGACGGUGAUGAGCAAGGUAGUGAACAUCAUUAUUGACAACGAAAGUAAUGAAAAUUUGGUUUCUAAAAAGGCAGUCACGGCGUUGAAAUUGGAGGUGAUUAAUUGUGCAACACCAUAUCAGCUGGAGUGGAUCCGAAAUGGAGAAGCCACAAGAGUCACGCAGUCAUGUUGGGUUCCGGUCUCAAUAGGACGUAGCUACGCCGGAAAGGUAUUAUGCGAUAUUGUUGAUAUGGACGCCACACAUGUCAUUUUGGGUAGGCCUUGGCAGUUGGCAGUAUGACACCAAUGCGACGUACAAAGGCAGACUGAAUCAAUGGUCCUUCCAAACCAACGACAAACGAAUCUCGUUGUUACCCUUACCAGCCGAAACAGUUCAAAGAUUAGUAGUACCAAAUUUCUUAUUACAAAAUAGAAAGGAAUUUAGUAACAGUAUAAGAGAAGCGGAUAUUGGACUUGCACUAGUGGCACGUCCGGUGGAAACACAAAGAAAUGAUAGCAUUCCACUCGUGAUUACAGAAGUAUUAAAACAAUUUACGUCAAUCACAGAUGAUGAGGCUCCAAUAACUUUACCACCAAUCAGAGGAGUGGAACACGAGAUUGAUUUAAUUCCAGGAGCAGUACUACCAAAUCAGCCUGCAUAUCGAAUGUCUCCACGGGAAACUGACAUUCUUCAAGAACAUGUGAACAAGCUUCUCGAGGAGGGCCUGAUAAGACCCAGUCGGAGUACCGGCUCUUUUAGUACCAAAGAAGAACGACGACUAUCGGAUGUGCGUCGAUAGUCGAGCCAUCAACCGAAUCACCAUUAAGUACCGAUUUCCGAUACCAUAGAUUGAUGAUUUGUUAGACGAUCUCACCGGCGCCCGAAUUUUUUCAAAACUCGAUCUUAGAAGCGGAUAUCACCAAAUCCGGAUGCGGCCAGGCGACGAGUGGAAAACCGCAUUCAAAACACGGCAUGGACUAUUCGAAUGGCUCGUCAUGCCUUUCGGUCUAUCGAACGCGCCAAGCACCUUUAUGCGAGUCAUGACACAAGUACUACAACCUUUCUUUGGCAAUUGUGUGGUUGUAUACUUCGACGACGUACUGAUUUACAGCGCCAAUCAAGAGUUACAUAUCCAACAUUUGAUGGCGGUGUUGGAAGCAUUACGGAAGGAACAAUUACGUCUCAAUUUAAAGAAGUGUGUUUUUUUAACAAACAGAGUAAUGUUCUUGGGAUAUCUGAUAUGCGAGGACGGUGUUCGAAUGGAUACGGAGAAAACUACGGCGUUAGAGGAAUGGCCGGAACCAAGGACAGUGGCAGAGGUAAGAAGUUUUAUGGGAUUGGCCUCUUUUUACAGGAAAUUCGUAAGAAAUUUCGGAAGCAUCACCGCACCGAUUACGGAUUGUUUGAGGAAAGGAGAAUUUAAAUGGACAGUGGCAGCAUCGGAAAGUUUCGGUCAAGUAAAAAAAGCACUUACGGCGGAGCCAGUACUAGCAUUACCCAACUUCAAUAUACUCUUCGAAAUUGAGUGCGACGCAUGCGGUACCGGAAUUGGCGCCGUUCUCAUGCAAGCAGGCCACCCGGUAG